CUUUUUAACAUGCUGAAUAGGAAGAAAUGGGAGAUGACUCACGAUUAUGGAUAUCGAAACAAACUGUGUUGUCUCAGUGGGAAAAGCAAAAGAAGAUAUGAAUAAAAAGAGAACUAUGUUCUAUUCCUGGCAAAUAAAACUAAUUAUUGUAAAGAUGG
rnacentral:lncRNA from 1 species